GCACUGCUGAGGAGUCCCAUUUAGGACGAAACGGCCGUCCAGUGC
rnacentral:hammerhead_ribozyme from 1 species